GUCCACGCCCUAACGAUGUCAACUGGUUGUUGGGAAUUUAUUUCUCAGUAACGAAGCUAACGCGUGAAGUUGACCGCCUGGGGAGUACGGCCGCAAGGUUAAACUCAAAGGAAUUGACGGGGACCCGCACAAGCGGUGGAUGAUGUUCUUUAAUUCGAUGCAACGCGAAACCUUACCCACCUUUGACAUGUAUGGAAUCCUUUAGAGAUGAAGGAGUGCUCGAAAGAGAGCCAUAACACAGGUGCUGCAUGGCUGUCGU
rnacentral:rRNA from 1 species